rnacentral:rRNA from 1 species
AGGGUUCGAUUCUGGCUCAGGAUGAACGCUAGCGACAGGCUUAACACAUGCAAGUCGAGGGGCAGCAUAAAAGUAGCAAUACUUGGUGGCGACCGGCGCACGGGUGAGUAACGCGUAUGCAACCUACCUAUCAGAGGGGAAUAACCCGGCGAAAGUCGGACUAAUACCGCAUAAAACAGGGGCACCGCAUGGUGAUAUUUGUUAAAGAAAUUCGCUGAUAGAUGGGCAUGCGUUCCAUUAGGUAGUUGGUGAGGUAACGGCUCACCAAGCCGACGAUGAAUAGGGGAACUGAGAGGUUGGUCCCCCACACUGGUACUGAGACACGGCCCAAACUCCUACGGGAGGCAGCAGUAGGGAAUCUUCCGCAAUGGACGAAAGUCUGACGGAGCAACGCCGCGUGAGUGAAGUAAAGGGUUUUCGGAUCGUAAAACUCUGUUGUCAGAGAAGAACAAGUUGGAGAGUAACUGCUCCAGCCUUGACGGUAUCUGACCAGAAAGCCACGGCUAACUACGUGCCAGCAGCCGC